CUCUGCACAGUCACAGCUGCCCCUGCCCAGGAAGAGCAGGGGUCCAGGGGGCUGUGCUGCAGGCUGUCAACUGCACCCUGCAGGGGAAAACCAACUCUCUCUUGACAGGAAGUCCAGGGGCACCUUCAUGGCUGCUGCAGUGAACACAGUGAUCUGAUAAAAGGAACUGUGACCCGAUUGAUUGGACCUGUCUCCAUAAACAGGCCGUGAAGGGGGCAGGAGAGCCCUGAAACAGCACGCAGGUGGUUGAAGUGUGCCCAGAAGAGCCAGGAGCACCCCCUGUGCGAAGACCAGCCCUUGUGGGUCCCUGAGGCGAAGACGGUCCGAGAUGCAGGUGGAUCUGUAUGUGGCAAGAAGUUGAGGGGAGUCCUGUCUCCGCAAAGUAGAGGACAGCGGCCUGGUAGCAGAACAACGGUGAGACGUUUUCUCCCCAUCUGUGGAAACGGCGAG